CCCUCUCCCCAGCAUCUCGGCCCCUCUCUGGCGUCGUUCCCUCACACCUAAGCCCAAUGGUGUUUUGCAGGCUUUCAGCUGUUACCUCAGUCCCUCCUCGCCUCAUUCCCGAUUCACUCCGUUGCUAUAGGUAUGUUUGAAACCCCAGCGUGGUAGAUUUUAAUUAGUCUUCCUACAGAUGGCCAAUUAACAUUCAUUACUUUUGCCUUGAGCGAUUAAUUAUGAGUUU
rnacentral:lncRNA from 1 species